AUUGAACGCUGGCGGCAGGCCUAACACAUGCAAGUCGAGCGGAGCGGCGGACGGGUGAGUAUGGCCUAGGAAUCGGCCGGGUAGUGGGGGUUAAGGUCCGGAAACGGGCGCUAAUACCGCUUACUAUCAGUUAGGCCUGGGUCGGAUUGGCUAGUGGGUGGGGUAAGGGCCUACCAAGGCGACGAUCCGUAACUGGUCUGAGAGGAUGAUCAGUCACACUGGAACUGAGACACGGUCCAGACUCCUACGGGAGGCAGCAGUGGGGAAUAUUGGACAAUGGGCGAAAGCCUGAUCCAGCCAUGCCGCGUGUGUGAAGAAGGUCUUCGGAUUGUAAAGCACUUUAAGUUGGGAGGCGUUACCAACAGAAUAAGCACCGGCUAACUUCGUGCCAGCAGCCGCGGUAAUAC
rnacentral:rRNA from 1 species